GUUAAAAAAAAUAUUAAAAAAAAAGAUAAACCGUGAAAAUAUCUCAAAAAUGAUUUAUCUGAUGGAAAAUAAUAGAAUAGCGAGGAAAAUUAUUAAAACCCAUCUGGCAAUGGGGCCGCUUAAAGGUAAGUAGUGAGUUUAUUUAUUAGUCAAUCGUAAGUUACGUAUUUUGUUUAUAACUUCCAAUUAAGAGUUUAUAUUUCGUAUUUACCCGACAACUGACCAGCCGUGGUGUAUAUGAGCGACAGAAACUUAAAAAUAUUAAUUAUGUUUCAGCACGAAACAAGGGAUACCUAACAUCUGGAUAUAUUGUAAAAAAAUUAAGAAUAUUAUCUUAACAAAAAGAUAAAAGAUGAUGUCACGCUAAAAGUGAUUCUCUCAGCAAAUGGGCUACGGAUUCAAAGUAAACAGGAUGGAUAGGUGUUUUAAAUUUUCAAAAUGUUACUAAAGGUAACCAAGCCAUCAGUGGUAGUUGUCAAGAAUGAGGAA